CCUACGGGAGGCUGCAGUGAGGAAUAUUGGUCAAUGGGAGAGAUCCUGAACCAGCCAAGCCGCGUGAGGGAAGACGGCCCUAUGGGUUGUAAACCUCUUUUGUCGGAGAACAAAACCCGGGACGUGUCCCGGACUGCGUGUAUCCGAAGAAAAAGCAUCGGCUAACUCCGUGCCAGCAGCCGCGGUAAUACGGAGGAUGCGAGCGUUAUCCGGAUGUAUUGGGUUUAAAGGGUGCGUAGGCGGGCCGUUGAGCCAGCGGUAAAAGUGCGGGGCUCAACCCCGUCGAGCCGUUGAAACUGGCAGACUUGAGUUGGCGAGAAGUACGCGGAAUGCGCGGUGUAGCGGUGAAAUGCGUAGAUAUCGCGAAGAACUCCGAUUGCGAAGGCGGCGUACCGGCGCCAGACUGACGCUGAGGCACGAAAGCGUGGGGAUCGAACAGGAUUAGAUACCCCUGUAGUC
rnacentral:rRNA from 1 species